rfam:Nitrosopumilus sp. BACL13 MAG-120910-bin56 contig06926_1_120910-bin56, whole genome shotgun sequence.
GGACACGUGGCUCAGCUUGGAUAGAGCAAGCGCUUGCGGAGUGCUAGGUCGUCGGUUCAAAUCCGAUCGUGCCCG